GGAAGACAGGAGUCAUAGGAAGACAGGUGCUCUGGGUACAGGUGCUGGGGAAGAGAGUCAGGAAGACAGGAGUAUAGGAAGCAGGGCUAAGACAGGAGUCAUAGGAAACAGGUGUCAUAGGAAGACAGGUGUCAUAGGAGACAGGUGUCAUAGGAAGACAGGAGUCAUAGGAAGACAGGUGUGCGCUGGGUACAGGGUGCUCUCGGAAGACAGUGUGCUCGGGUACAGGUGCUUAGGAAGGACAGGUGUGCUCUGGGUACAGUGCUAUAGGAAGACAGGUGUGCUCUGGGUACAGGUGCUAUAGGAAGACAGGUGUGCUCUGGGUAAGGUGCUAUAGGAAGACAGUGUUGGCCUGGGUACAGGUGUCAUAGGAAGACAGGUGUGCGUGGGUACAUGUGCUACUAGGAAGAGUUUGCUUGGGUACAGGUGCUUAGGAAGACAGGUGUGCUCUGGGUACAGGUGCUAUAGGAAACAGGUGUUGCGCUGGGUACACGGGUAAUAGGAAGACAGGCUAGUCAUAGGAGAACAGGUGUGCUCUG
rnacentral:lncRNA from 1 species